rnacentral:rRNA from 1 species
GACGAACGCUGGCGGCGUGCUUAACACAUGCAAGUCGAACGGUGAAGGGACUGGUUUUGCUGGUCCUGGAUGAGUGGCGAACGGGUGAGUAACACGUGAGUAACCUGCCCCCUUCUUCUGGAUAACCGCAUGAAAGUGUGGCUAAUACGGGAUAUUCUGGGUCUGUCGCAUGGUGGGCCUGUGAAAGAUUGCGCCUUUUUUGGUGUUUUUGGUGGGGGAUGGGCUCGCGGCCUAUCAGCUUGUUGGGGGGGUGAUGGCCUACCAAGGCGGUGACGGGUAGCCGGCCUGAGAGGGUGGACGGUCACACUGGGACUGAGACACGGCCCAGACUCCUACGGGAGGCAGCAGUGGGGAAUAUUGCACAAUGGGCGCAAGCCUGAUGCAGCGACGCCGCGUGAGGGAUGGAGGCCGUCGGGUUGGGAACCUCUUUCGCCAGUGAAGCAGGCCUGCCUCUUUGUGUGGGUGGGUUGACGGUAGCUGGAGAAGAAGCGCCGGCUAACUACGUG